AGCUCCUUCCUGCUCGCGUGUUCUGGACCUGGUCCUGGAUCUGGCCUCUGGGUGCACAGGUCCCAGAACAUUCCUCCAGACCGCUGCUGGCGCCUUCCUCCACGGCCACUGCCUGCUCCCAGACACGGUCCAUCCAGGGUGCCUCCCCUGCCCUGCCCGGCCAUCUCCCGCUAGAAUGCCGGCUCCUCGGGCAGGGACCCGGGUGUCUGCAGCAGGGCCGGGCCCACAGGACGCCUCCGUCCGUGGCCGGGGGACACAGAGGUUCGGCGCCCUGCGACGUCCCCCUUCAGCACCAUCGGAGACUCAUAAAGCCUGAAAAAACUUGAGGGAAGCGGCCUUCCCCCAGUUUCCAUGCUUCCCCCAAAUUCUAUUGCCUCCUUCGAGAGCGAGUUAGCCGUCUAUUUCCUGAUGCUUCUUUACUGAUCAGAGGCGGGCUGGAGCAGUUACAGGAGGUGGGCGCUGUCACCCCCAUUCUAAGAGAAAGAAACUCAACGGGGGAAGUGAUUUCUCCAGCGGCACAGCUCUAGGAAUCCCUGCAAGAUGGUCUGACUCCAGGGCUGGUCUAGGGGACGCAAAGCUGGCAGGUGGGGACGGAGGGUGCCCCCGGAGUGAGUCCCAAGCUCCUGUAGCCCACACAGCCUCAGCUCUGUGGAAACUGAGCUGCAACCCUCCAGGGCCACGGGAUCGUUUCAGCAGGUGACCGCCAUCACUGAGAAGACUCGAAACAGGGUAACAAAUAUCAGGGUUCACGAUGCACGGAGAGAGAAGUGUUCUUGGGUGAAAAUAUUUCGUUAGACGUGUGUAAAAAGUUCACUGCUUAUUUUACAUGUAGCCAUUCUGUGUGCCCUGGGUCGAGACACACAAUAUAUUUCUUACCCUGGCCACGGUCAGCCAGCUUUGAAAGCCACUGCUUUCAGCCUUUCUCUGUUCUGCAGGGGCCUCCGGGCCUUUGUUCUCCGAACAAGAACACCAGUGCUGGGCACAGGACAGGAGCCAGGAUGUGCUGGAGGGUUUCCGCUCUGUGCCCCCACCCGCACACCAAUGGGGCUGGCUCAGCAAGGUGGCGGCACCGCUGUGUGGGGUCCGAGAGGUCGGGGUGUUGAGAUUUGACUGCGAUCCCACGGGCUUCCUCACCUGUAGGCCAGGGUGCUCAGGAGGUCCCCAAAGCAAGGCCCAGGCUGGCCUGUUCUGAGAGGCACAGAACCCCAUGUGGUUAUGGGGAGCUGGCAGCGUGAGAGCCCUUCCAGUCCCUGAGCCAGUGUUGGUGGCCGAGGAGAGUGUCUCGGGGAGCAGAGGGAUGUCAGGGUAAUGACACUGGCAGGGGCCAAGAAAUGCCCGGCUGGGCUGGGAGGCCUGUCAGGGGAAGCCGCCUGAGCUCUCUCCUGCCAGCAACGGGCCCCUGGAGGAAGGCUUUUGGGGUUAUCAGAUUUGUUUUCCAAUCGGGAACUAACUCUGGCUGGAGUGUGUGGCUGGCCCUCCUGGAUCUGCUGGGCUGCCUCCAGAUGGUCCUAGCACAGAGCCCCACAUAUGGGGCACAAAGCCUGGGGUUUCCAGAAGGACCCUCCCUACCGUGCCGGGCAUCCUUCUUCCCCUCCCUUCCCCCAAGGCACUCACACUGACUUCUUUCGUCCAACAUGGCCAUGUCGAUUUAAGGUCUCCAAGGCCAGAGGCCAGCUGUCUACUUUUCUAAACAUCACAGAGUGUUCUGGAUGUUCAAAACACGUGAGUUGGCUGUUUUGCCCCUUGGAGAGCGUCAGGGACCCACUCCCAUGGGGAAGGCUGGGGUGAUUCUCAGACCAACUUUGCAGGGGCCUCUUCGUGGCAGUGAAGCCUUCGUUCCCCUCCUGGGAAUGGGCCUCUGGUUUGGGCAAUUCGAGACACCUUGAAACGGUCAGUCGUAAUAAACAGGCACAAAACAAACUGGCAUCCAGGCAGAGGCCUCGUCCCUUUUCUGUCCUGGCUGGAUUUCCCGUCGGCCGUGCGGGUGGACCCAAGUGCUACGAAAGGGACUGUAGUUUUCCCAGGGAGACAGAACCAAACAAAGAUGGAAGCAAACAAACAAAAAACCCCAAACACUCUCACACACCCCUAAAUCCAGCUACGUAAUCGAGCCUGAGGUUGGACGCUCUGUCGCCUUUGUGGGAUGCAAACAAAGAUGUCCCCUAGAUGGCCCGCUCUUCAGACUAUGGGCUGCCCCUGUGACAAAGAAGCCUGGGGGCUUCUCUGAUCCUAAGUUUUGCUCCAGACUUUGGUUCCUUUUGGCUAUGCGUGUGAAAAUGACAAAGGGGUCCCGGUCAUGUCACUGAGCGGGUCAGCACGGAGUGUUUAAAGGAGAGAAAAGGUUGUAAAAUGGAGAGGGUCCUCCAGAUGGGACCACGACACGGUGGGACAGGUGUGGGUCCGGCUUGCACAGUCCGGGGCCCCUCCCCCACUGCAGGUGCAGAGGGGACCUGUCUGGCUUGUGACAUCACCCGUGUCAGAACUAUAAGGGCUGAGCUGUGUCUGCAGACUGUCCCCGUGUACCUAGAGCCUCGCUUCACAACAAGCCGUUCCCGUCCAGCGGCAUUGCCCCCUCAGAGGGCGGCCAGUUUCCCAGUGUCAACAAAACCGUAUGAUCCCCACUCGUGUUCAGUUUAAAGGUUAUUCCUAAAAAGCGGCAGUUGACGUUAUUUCUGAUUUUUUGAGACUCAAAAAAUUAUUUACCAGAAACACACAAAUUGUUUGUUUUACUCUCUGCUACUUGCUCAUUGACAGAAGAUCAUUGGAGAAGAGCAAAUGGAAGAUGAGCCUAAAAAACUGUUUUUUUUUUGUAUUUUUUUUUUUUUUUUUACAGUCAUUGGGGUUACUGACAUUAGAACAUUUGCCGUUUUAAACAAACGCAAGGUCACUCAGUCUGUUACAGACUAGUUAAAUAGUACCGUUUUGUACAAAACAAAAACAGAUAUUCCUUUGGUUAAAAAAAAAAUUGAUGACUUUUCCUGCGCCACGUUUAUGUCAAGUGGAAGACGAUUCUAAUUUUAUCUGUGUUCAAUAGGCAGAUUAAAGCAAAUCAUGAAGCUGAUGCUGUUUACAAUUCUCUGAGCAGCUGAAGGAAAGAAAAUCACCUUGAAUCUAGCAUUUUCUGAGCCCACUAAAACAGCCAGGUCCCUCAGACCAUCUGGGAAGGAAUGGAUCCCAUCCAUGUGUUAGUUUAAUAUGAAAUUGUUUUAUUUUGACUCUAUUUUCCUUCAGGCUAUUAGGGAGGAAAAGAAAAAAAAAAUAGGAGAGCGGGAGAAAGGCUUUGGUUCCUCACCAUUUUCUCUGCGGGGCUCUCCUUGGUUUCUCGGCUUUGGCUUUUUCAAUGCUUUACUUCUUUGGGUUAAAAAAAUGUACAAAAUGUAUAUUGUAAGUAUAAAAAAAUAAUAUAUUUUGAACGUGACAAAAUUUUAGAUCCACAAUACACUCCGGCAAAAAUAUUAUUAAAAAAUACCGUUUGCUUUCA